AGCUUUGCACAGUGGCAAUAUCAUAGCCAAUGAGAUUUAUCUGAGGCGCGAUUAUUGCUAAUUGAAAACUUCCCAAUACCCCGCCAUGACGACUUGAAAUACAGUCAGCACUGGCAAAA
ensembl:snRNA U4 U4 spliceosomal RNA